AUUGAACGCUGGCGGCAGGCCUAACACAUGCAAGUCGAACGAGUGGCGGACGGGUGAGUAAUGUCUGGGAAACUGCCUGAUGGAGGGGGAUAACUACUGGAAACGGUAGCUAAUACCGCAUACCAUCGGAUGUACCCAGAUGGGAUUAGCUAGUAGGUGGGGUAACGGCUCACCUAGGCGACGAUCCCUAGCUGGUCUGAGAGGAUGACCAGCCACACUGGAACUGAGCCACGGUCCAGACUCCUACGUGAGCCAGCAGUGGGGAAUAUGGCACAAUGGGCGCAAGCCUGAUGCAGCCAUGCCUCGUGUACCAAGAAGGCCUUCGGGUUGUAAAGUACUUUCAGCGGUGAGGCGUUUCCCGAAGAAGAAGCACCGGCUAACUCCGUGCAAGCAGCCGCGGUAAUAC
rnacentral:rRNA from 1 species